ACCAUUCGAUAGUUACAUCAUUUGAUUACAUUACAUUUUCAUCUUCCAAAAUAUAAAUAUAUGUUUUCCAAAAUACAUCAUGGCUCUCCAAUAUCUAUCCAAAAUAUACAUGGUAUCUAGUACACGAGGGUACUCUAAUGCAUAAUGGAAAGCUACUAACUAACUCACUUAGGGUGCUAUGCCCUUGCCGUGAUCCUCGCUCGGCUCGCCCCUGUGUGUACCU
rnacentral:lncRNA from 1 species